CCCCUCUAUGUCAUCUCCGACCUCCGUUGGCAAGUACACAUGACCCCGACCUUUUCCUGGACCUUUUGUGACUUGCUUUCCAGUCCAAUCCCCGGACCCGGACCAGAUCAUUAUUUAGUUAACGUCUACGCUCACCUUUUGUUUAUGAAUAUUUUGUGUGCACAUUAAACAUUAUUCUUAAAAUAUA